UACGUAGGUGGCAAGCGUUGUCCGGAUUUACUGGGCGUAAAGAGCGCGCAGGCGGUCGUUCAAGUCGAGUGUGGAAGCCCCCGGCUCAACUGGGGAGGGUCACUCGAUACUGAUCGACUCGAAGGCAGAAGAGGGAAGCGGAAUUCCCGGUGUAGUGGUGAAAUGCGUAGAUAUCGGGAGGAACACCGAUGGCGAAGGCAGCCCCCUGGGCUGACACUGACGCUCAGGCACGAAAGCGUGGGUAGCAAACAGG
rnacentral:rRNA from 1 species